GUGGGGAAUUUUGGACAAUGGGGGCAACCCUGAUCCAGCCAUCCCGCGUGUGCGAUGAAGGCCUUCGGGUUGUAAAGCACUUUUGGCAGGAAAGAAAUCGCACGGGAUAAUACCUCGUGUGGAUGACGGUACCUGCAGAAUAAGCACCGGCUAACUACGUGCCAGCAGCCGCGGUAAUACGUAGGGUGCAAGCGUUAAUCGGAAUUACUGGGCGUAAAGCGUGCGCAGGCGGUUCGGAAAGAAAGAUGUGAAAUCCCAGGGCUUAACCUUGGAACUGCAUUUUUAACUACCGGGCUAGAGUGUGUCAGAGGGGGGUGGAAUUCCGCGUGUAGCAGUGAAAUGCGUAGAUAUGCGGAGGAACACCGAUGGCGAAGGCAGCCCCCUGGGAUAACACUGACGCUCAUGCACGAAAGCGUGGGGAGCAAACAGGAUUAGAUACCCUAGUAGUCC
rnacentral:rRNA from 1 species